rnacentral:rRNA from 1 species
UACGUAGGGUGCAAGCGUUGUCCGGAAUUAUUGGGCGUAAAGAGCUCGUAGGCGGUCUGUCGCGUCUGCUGUGAAAACUCGGGGCUUAACCCCGGGCCUGCAGUGGGUACGGGCAGACUAGAGUGCGGUAGGGGAGACUGGAAUUCCUGGUGUAGCGGUGAAAUGCGCAGAUAUCCGGAGGAACACCAGUGGCGAAGGCGACACGCUGGGCCGUACCUGACACUGAUGCGCGACAGCAUGGGGAGCAAACAGG